rnacentral:misc_RNA from 1 species
GAUGAAGAACGCAGCGAAAUGCGAUAAGUAAUGUGAAUUGCAGAAUUCAGUGAAUCAUCAAAUCUUUGAACGCACAUUGCGCCCAUUAGUAUUCUAGUGGGCAUGCCUGUUCGAGCGUCAUUAAGUCCACUUAAGCCCUGCUUAGUGUUGGGAGACUGCUCCAGCGGUGCUACCCUGUAGCUACCCUGCAGCUCCUCAAAGACAGCGGCGGAGUUGUGGUAUCCUCUGAGCUUAGUAACUUGUUCUAGCUUUCGAGUACACCACUUCCCCUGCCGUAAAACCCUUAAUUUUUAAUGGUUGACCUCGGAUCAGGUAGGAAUACCCGCUGAACUUAAGCAUAUCAAUAAGCGGAGGA